rnacentral:rRNA from 1 species
UGCGGAGGGUGCAAGCGUUAUCCGGAUUCACUGGGUUUAAAGGGUGCGUAGGUGGAUUAGUAAGUCAGUGGUGAAAUCUCCGGGCUUAACCCGGAAACUGCCAUUGAUACUAUUAGUCUUGAAUACCGUGGAGGUCAGCGGAAUAUGUCAUGUAGCGGUGAAAUGCUUAGAUAUGACAUAGAACACCAAUUGCGAAGGCAGCUGGCUACACGAAUAUUGACACUCAGGCACGAAAGCGUGGGGAUCAAACAGG